CCGGGAUUCGAGUUUUGUUGCACAUCUCUAUCACUCGCAUUGACAGCUCCUCUCUAAUCACCUGCAACCAACUUUGCAAUAUCCACAAUGAAUAAAAUGUUAUUAAGGAAAAUAAAGCUUCCACGAGGCGAACAAUUUUUCUGGCUUAGGCGGUCGGCUGAACUUCAAAUAAAUUUUGCCCCGAUGAAGAUGAUAAAGUGGAUGGCGACCAUUGAAGCCAGAGUUCUUAAAUUCACUUGGCGGAUUGCGAGGACGGCUCCUUCCAACCGAACAUUCUUUGGACGUUUGGCCAUUUGGCUUUAUUGCGCGUUCAAAGAGAAGGGGAUUUCGAAUUCGCUCAAAUGUUGAACGGUACAGAACAAAGCAACGGUGUUGAAUGAAGCAUCCACUAGGUAUUAUCGCAACGCAGCAGCAAGUACUAGUACCUACGCGGUUUUAUAACAAAGCUUUAGCGCAUUUAUUAAACAACAAAUUAGUUGUACACAAUUCGAACGCUAAAUAAAAUCAAUGCGAAAUGCCAACCGGACACAUGCCCCAAAUCGGUAUUGGGGUGGGGUUUAGUACCGCUCACAACUAUUUCGGGCUAUUCCGUCCAAAUGGGUGGUCCGAUCCGAAAAAAAUUUCUCACACUUGUAGUCAAGCGUCCACGCAAUAUUUUAACACUCACUUUUGUAAAUUUUGGUUACUAAUUUAUUUACAAAUUGGGUUUGAAAUAUGCCUUUUUUUGUAAAGUUCGGAAAUUAGCGUACAUUUAUCAAUCCUAUUCUGCUUAAAUUAGCCACUUCACCAAUAUAUUUUUGUAUUCCCCUUCACUUUACACUUUACUUGAUUUGUUAUAACUUGCUUUACGAC